UCAGACCGGAGUAAUCCAGGUCAGUUUCUAUCUAUAUUUGAGUUUUCUCCAGUACGAAAGGACCGAGAAAACGUGGCCCAUACUUAUGGCAAGCCACAGCUAUUAAAUUAUGAUUUAUUCUUAAUAAUAUAGUAACCCAAUAAUUUUCUCAAGAUAAGAGUU
rnacentral:rRNA from 1 species